rnacentral:lncRNA from 1 species
AAACUGCAAUGAUGACUUAAAACCCAUAAAAAAAUAAGACAAGUGGAGGUAAAUGAGUAAUAUAUUUGUAGGAAAAGCAGAGAUUACACAUUUAUAGUGAGUUUUUUCUUAUUUUCAGUGAGCCAGAGAACUUCACAAAUGGAAGAAUAUUUGGUAGCAUACUUUUUAAUUGACUUACUUGACAUUUUGAGAGUCUGAACCCCUCCCCCUUAAAUAAAUGGAAUCACAUACCUUCAAGGCUUAGAACUUGUGGAUCAUGGACCAGAGAUAGGAUAACUAAAUCCAUAAACUGCGGAAAAAAAAUUCUGGAACCUGAACACUACUUCCUAAUAUUUAAAUGAAAAUACAAAUGAGUGCAUUCUACAUUUUGGACCACUAGAAUUUAAUAAAUGUGAAAUGACCAUUUUUAAAGAGUAUUUGCACAAUUACAUAAAGUUUAUAUAUAGGAUAUCUAUAUUAUAUAUACAUAUAUAUACAUUUUAUAAAUUUAUCCGAUAUGAAAUAUGUUUGAUCUGGUUGUCACACUGCAUAGAAAUAUGUAGUACUGCACCUUAAAUUAAAUCACGUUGUAUUCGCUCAAACCCAGCUUUAGUUUUCUCUCCCAGGAGACCAUUUGUGUACCUUUGUGUCGUGAACUGAUAUUUUCAUGUUCAGCGACAGCUAAACUUAACUCCUGUCCCAGCUCUGUAGACCUUGAUCUCUGAAAAAUAACAUUUCAAAAAAAUGAAACAAAUGCAUUAAAAACCUUCCCUUAUUGUUGUGAAACAAUCACACAGUCCCCUGGAACCUUAGUGAAUGACUGCUAGGUAUGGUCAUUCCUUUGCAGAGCCAGUCAGUGACAGAGAUGCUAGGGUGAAUGUAACUCUCUCACCUUGGCAAUGAAUGAUGUUAUCUCAGCAUCUCUCAGCUUCUGCUGGACAGAUUAGUCCAGGUUCAUCUGUCUGGACCACCCUUCUGUGCAUCUGUAUCUGAAGCCUUAACAGCAACCAGAUUGGCUCUGAUUGGACAGCUUCCCUGAGAAUCCUCACUAAGCUGCCACAGCCCCCAACACUGCCACUCUCUUUUAUAAGGAACUGAUCUUACUCCCAUGGUGGUCCAGUUUUCCCCUUCACUGCCCUGCAUUUGAAAAAUCAUACACAAAGUCCCAGGAAACCUUGUUCAGCUUGCAGCUGAAGUCUGGAACUCACCUAUCAGAAACCACAGUCCAGCCCACUUAGCUCUCCUGCAAGUUCCCCUGGACUGCUGGGGCGGGGGACAGAGGCUUUUCUGGUGACCUGGUUUCUGCUCAUGCUAACUCUGCAAAUAUGAGUUGUCCACUGUUUUGAAAAGUCUGGAGAUCUUGGGCUCUGCCAUAGUAGCAGCCUGCUGUUAACUGACAGCACAGGUUUUUGUUUGAAGGGGCCUUAUUAGAAAAUAAUGUUUAUCAUUUACUUUCUCAAGUAUUUUCUAUUCCUUGCUUGCUUACUUAGCUGCAAGCUAAGUCAAAAGAACUUAGUCAAAAGAACCAGCACGCAACAUUCAGAUAGAACAGGCUGUGUUCAAGGCAACUUUUGGCAUUUACUUUAACCCUUAUAUAAUUUAUUUCUAUUUUGUGCAUACUAUAGUCCUGUGCAUAUGUAGUUGAACAUGCAAGGGAAUAUGUGUCUCUCUUUGUGGAUGUGUGGCCUAAAAUUCUGAAUGUCAGAGCAAAGGACAGCUCUCUCUGCAUCUAAUCAGUGCCCACGGUUUGUUUGCUCUUGUGUUUGUCUGGCCUAGUGUACUGUUACUUUGAAACAGGGAGAAGUCUUGCCUUCUGAAGGUUCUUCUCACGUGUCCAGUCUGGCAUGUCAGAGAACACUUAGCCUGUGACUGUGUCCUUUUACAAAGUUUACUUCAUCUGCAGUAAAUUCAACUGCCUCAAGAACUCUUACAGGGGGAUGGACUUUCCAAAGUUGAACGGAGCGCUUGCGCUCUUUGGUAUAGUUAGGCUGUUUUGACCUGGGUCCAAAAAAGCACAAGGAUGGGCAGAAUACUCAAUCCAAUCAGGAAGUGAAAUGAAAAGUGAACAUACUGUUUUUGCCACCCCUUCUGUUUGCUGUCGUUGGUUGCUUUACUGUGCAUAUCCUUGUUUUAAUGCAAUGCUUGUUAAAUAAAUAUUGUGAACUAUUUUGUAAAUGAAAUGUAUUAUGUUAAAAGCUGUCAGCAGCUGUCAAAAAUAAGCUUUUGUUGUGAAAGAAAAAUGUGUGUUAGAUAAAAACAAAACAAAACAAAAAAAGUC